UACGGGGGGGGCAAGCGUUGUUCGGAAUUACUGGGCGUAAAGGGCUCGUAGGCGGCCAACUAAGUCAGACGUGAAAUCCCUCGGCUUAACCGGGGAACUGCGUCUGAUACUGGAUGGCUUGAGUUUGGGAGAGGGAUGCGGAAUUCCAGGUGUAGCGGUGAAAUGCGUAGAUAUCUGGAGGAACACCGGUGGCGAAGGCGGCAUCCUGGACCAACACUGACACUGAGGAGCGAAAGCCAGGGGAGCAAAGCGGG
rnacentral:rRNA from 1 species